rnacentral:rRNA from 1 species
GGAAGUAAAAGUCGUAACAAGGUUUCCGUAGGUGAACCUGCGGAAGGAUCAUUAUUGAAUUUUAAUGAAGAGUUUGGUUGUAGCUGGCCUAUUAAUUUGGGCAUGUGCACACCUUUCUCUUUCAUCCACACACACCUGUGAACCUGUGAGACAGAUGGGGAAUUUAUUUGUUGUUUUUUUGUAAAAGAAAGACAAUAGAUCAUUGGACCCUCUGUCUACUCAAUUUAUAUAAACUCAAUUUAUUUUAAAAUGAAUGUAAUGGAUGUAACACAUCUAAUACUAAGUUUCAACAACGGAUCUCUUGGCUCUCGCAUCGAUGAAGAACGCAGCGAAAUGCGAUAAGUAAUGUGAAUUGCAGAAUUCAGUGAAUCAUCGAAUCUUUGAACGCACCUUGCGCUCCUUGGUAUUCCUUGGAGCAUGCCUGUUUGAGUAUCAUGAAAUCUUCAAAGUCAAUUCUUUUGUUUGUUCAAUUGGGUUGACUUUGGUAUUGGAGGUUUUGCAGGUUCACACUUGCUCCUCUUUGUGCAUUAGCUGGAUCUCAGUGUUAUGCUUGGUUCCACUCGGCGUGAUAAAUUAUCUAUCGCUGAGGACACUUUUGUAAAAAGGUGGCCAAGGUAAAUGCAGAUGAACUGCUUCUAAUAGUCCAUUCACUUGGACAAUAUUUUUAUGAUCAGAUCUCAAAUCAGGUAGGACUACCCGCUGAACUUAAGCAUAUCAAUAAGCGGAGGAA